rnacentral:rRNA from 1 species
GCAUGCUAGUCGCACGAGUUUAGACUCGUAGGCAUAUAGCUCAGUAACACGUGGCCAAACUACCCUACAGACCGCAAUAACCUCGGGAAACUGAGGCCAAUAGCGGAUAUAACUCUCAUGCUGGAGUGCCGAGAGUUAGAAACGUUCCGGCGCUGUAGGAUGUGGCUGCGGCCGAUUAGGUAGAUGGUGGGGUAACGGCCCACCAUGCCGAUAAUCGGUACGGGUUGUGAGAGCAAGAGCCUGGAGACGGUAUCUGAGACAAGAUACCGGGCCCUACGGGGCGCAGCAGGCGCGAAACCUUUACACUGCACGACAGUGCGAUAGGGGGACUCCGAGUGUGAGGGCAUAUAGCCCUCGCUUUUCUGUACCGUAAGGUGGUACAAGAAUAAGGACUGGGCAAGACCGGUGCCAGCCGCCGCGGUAAUACCGGCAGUCCAAGUGAUGGCCGAUAUUAUUGGGCCUAAAGCGUCCGUAGCUUGCUGUGUAAGUCCAUUGGGAAAUCGACCAGCUCAACUGGUCGACGUCCGGUGGAAACUACACAGCUUGGGGCCGAGAGACUCAACGGGUACGUCCGGGGUAGGAGUGAAAUCCUAUAAUCCUGGACGGACCACCAAUGGGGAAACCACGUUGAGAGACCGGACCCGACAGUGAGGGACGAAAGCUAGGGUCUCGAACCGGAUUAGAUACCCGGGUAGUCCUGGCCGUAAACAAUGCUCGCUAGGUAUGUCACGCGCCAUGAGCACGUGAUGUGCCGUAGUGAAGACGAUAAGCGAGCCGCCUGGGAAGUACGUCCGCAAGGAUGAAACUUAAAGGAAUUGGCGGGGGAGCACCACAACCGGAGGAGCUGCGGUUUAAUUGGACUCAACGCGGAAAUCUCACCGGUCCCGACAGUAGUAAUGACAGUCAGGUUGACGACUUUACUCGACGCUACUGAGAGGAGGUGCAUGGGCGCGUCAGCUCGUACCGUGAGGCGUCCUGUAAGUCAGGCAA